rnacentral:piRNA from 1 species
UUCCUUCUGGUGAAAUCUUUUAGUUCAGG